rnacentral:rRNA from 1 species
AUUGGGGACUAGAAUGAAUGGUCUAACGAGAAAUUAACUUUUUUAGGAAUAAUAAUUAAACUUAAUUUUUUAGUGAAAAAGCUAAAAUAAUAUAAAAAGACGAGAAGACCCUAUAGAGUUUUAUAUAUUAACUAUUUACAUUUUAAUAGCUUUUUAGAAUUGUAAAUAAAGACUAUAUUUUGUUGGGGCGACAUUUAGAUAAAAAAAACUUUUUAUAUUAAAAACUCAGAUUUGAGUAUUUACUGAUCCUUAAAAAAGAUUAAAAGUAUAAAUUACCUUAGGGAUAACAGCGUAAUCUCCCUUGAGAGCCCAAAUCGACAGGGAGGUUUGCGACCUCGAUGUUGGACUAAAAUUAAACUAAGGUGC